rnacentral:rRNA from 1 species
CCUACGUGGAGCUGCAGUGGGGAAUAUUGGACAAUGGGCGAAAGCCUGAUCCAGCCAUGCCGCGUGUGUGAAGAAGGCCUUCGGGUUGUAAAGCACUUUCAGUGGGGAAGAAAGCCUUGGGGCUAAUACCCUCGAGGAAGGACAUCACCCACAGAAGAAGCACCGGCUAACUCCGUGCCAGCAGCCGCGGUAAUACGGAGGGUGCGAGCGUUAAUCGGAAUUACUGGGCGUAAAGCGCGCGUAGGCGGUCUGAUAAGCCGGUUGUGAAAGCCCCGGGCUCAACCUGGGAACGGCAUCCGGAACUGUCAGGCUAGAGUGCAGGAGAGGAAGGUAGAAUUCCCGGUGUAGCGGUGAAAUGCGUAGAGAGCGGGAGGAAUACCAGUGGCGAAGGCGGCCUUCUGGACUGACACUGACGCUGAGGUGCGAAAGCGUGGGUAGCAAACAGGAUUAGAUACCCCAGUAGUC